UACGGAGGGUGCAAGCGUUGUCCGGAAUCACUGGGCGUAAAGGGCGCGUAGGCGGCUCAUGAAGGCUGUGGUGAAAGUCCGGGGCUCAACCUCGGAUCGGCCGUGGCGACUCGUGGGCUGGAGCACUGUAGAGGCGGGUGGAAUUCCGGGUGUAGCGGUGGAAUGCGUAGAGAUCCGGAAGAACACCAGUGGCGAAGGCGGCCCGCUGGCAGUGGCUGACGCUGAGGCGCGACAGCGUGGGGAGCAAACGAGGAUUAGAUGACCCGU
rnacentral:rRNA from 1 species